GAGGCAAAGGGAGUACGUCGGAGGGCGGACAGGUAGGCUCAGGAUCAGCGGAUGUAGAGGAGCCAGGAGGAAAACACCUGGAGGCAGGAGAAGCAACAAAGAAAGCUUUCACUAGGAGCAGAUCAACAAGGCAAACCAGAAGCAAGCUUCUAGGGGCUCAGAGGUACCGUGACUGGCUAACACUCAGGCGCCGAAGGACUGGCAGUCAGCUCCUCUUGAACAUCUCGCUGAUGAGCCAAACUCGCAUCAGGUGUGGGAUGACGUCAUCCACGCCCUCCGACGGAAUGGCAAAGGCGCCAUCUAGUGGUGGAGAAAAACGAGUGCAUGCACAAAAACUCCACAAAGGUGCUAAAAGGCCCCGGAACAUGACAAGAGGAUAAUAUUUGACCCAAUACUUGUUUAUCUGCAUGUAGAGUUUUGCCCCAAGUCUUUAGGGCUUUAUGUCUUGGUAAGUUUGAUUCCGUGUUUCAAAUUCUUCGAGGAUUUCUACAUGGAUUUAUAUUGUGUUCAAUAAAAUACAAAUUUUGUACAUUUUUAACUGCACACAGCAGGAAUAUAAACCGAUGAAUCAGAGCCAAAACAUUCAAGACAAUCUGAUCGUACUGUUCUGUUACAGAUCAUCAAAAGUUUGGACUCUUUCUCUGUGCUACAGUGAAGAUCCUGGGAAUCAUAAUCCUCUGCAGUGCAGUCGUCACCUUUGAGUGCUGGUUUAGAUCAUCCGACAGAUCAAGGAAGGAUCCAGCAGAACCAGAGCGGAUCAACAGAGUGAUGGAGAUUCAGGCAUCAUGAGCCACAAGGAGGCGAAGAAAACGUUCACUAUUAGUGGGACAAUAUCUUUCUUUUUUCUUGCAUUCGAAUUUGACUGUACAUGUGUUGAUUUUUAUUACAAGAUAAGCAGAUAACAUUUGAACUUGGCAUUAAAAUCUUUUUAAAAUGGAAACAAGGAAAAAUUGAGAUACUGCACAAAUUAUUCAUCUUUUGUUUGCCAUGUUUGCUUGUUAUUUUUUUCCCCCUUUUCUGUCAUUUAACCAUCAGCAUUUAUUGAGGAAGCACUUUUUCCUUAGACUAAAUGCUGCACGCAAUUUCCAAUACAUUUAAAAAAUAAAUAGUGACCUGUAUUCUAUUCUUUUUGCUGGGAAUAAAUAAAUUCAU